rnacentral:rRNA from 1 species
UGCGUAGGGUCCGAGCGUUGUCCGGAAUUAUUGGGCGUAAAGGGCUCGUAGGCGGUUCGUCACGUCGGGAGUGAAAACUCGGGGCUUAACCCCGAGCCUGCUUCCGAUACGGGCAGACUAGAGGUAGGCAGGGGAGAGCGGAACUCCUGGUGUAGCGGUGGAAUGCGCAGAUAUCAGGAAGAACACCGGUGGCGAAGGCGGCUCUCUGGGCCUUACCUUACGCUUAGGAGCGAAAGCGUGGGUAGCGAACAGG